rnacentral:rRNA from 1 species
CUCAGGAGGAACGCGGGCGGCGGGCUUCCCUUUGAAGGCCGAACGGGAAUAACUUAAUGGAAACUCCGGCCGAUUAAAUUUAAUUCUAGGGGCGGACGGGUGACUCCCGCGGGGGUAACCUGCCUUAUACAGGGGGAUAACAGUCAGAAAUGGCUGCUAAUACCGCAUAAGCGCACAGAGCUGCAUGGCUCAUUGUGAAAAACUCCGGGGGUAUAAGAUGGACCCGCGUUGGAUUAGCUAGUUGGGGGGGUAACGGCCCACCAAGGCGACAAUCCAUAGCCGGCCUGAGAGGGUGAACGGCCACAUUGGGACUGAAACACGGCCCAAACUCCUACGUUUUUCAGCAGGGGGGAAUAUUGCACAAUGGGGGAAACCCUGAUGCACCGACCCCGCGUGAAGGAAGAAGUAUCUCGGUAUGUAAACUUCUAUCAGCAGGGAAGAUAGGGACGGCACCUG